rnacentral:rRNA from 1 species
ACGGGUGAGUAACACGUGGAUAACCUACCUAUAAGACUGGGAUAACUUCGGGAAACCGGAGCUAAUACCGGAUAAUAUAUUGAACCGCAUGGUUCAAUAGUGAAAGACGGUUUUGCUGUCACUUAUAGAUGGAUCCGCGCCGCAUUAGCUAGUUGGUAAGGUAACGGCUUACCAAGGCAACGAUGCGUAGCCGACCUGAGAGGGUGAUCGGCCACACUGGAACUGAGACACGGUCCAGACUCCUACGGGAGGCAGCAGCC